rnacentral:lncRNA from 1 species
GGAAUUUUCUUUUGGAACAAUGAGAAUUCUCCAAGCUUCCUCAACAGACAACUGGAAGUGGCAGCAAAGAGGCAGUGGAAAAGCAGCAGAAUGGCAGUAGAAUGGCAACAGCUGCACUGGGAUCAGAGGCUGCACUGGGAUCAGGGGCUGUGCUUAGAUCGUGCUGAGUCAUUGCUGGUGUUGGACGGAGUGACAGCGCGGAGGAGGAUUACGUGUGCCAACUGCUGGAUUUCCCAAGUUUGCCUGCCCUUGCCUAGGUGCGAGCUGAGAUAUUUUGGAGACCCAAGAUGGGUAGAAAGGAUGCUUCUACUUUAAAACUUCCUGUUGAUCAAUAUAGAAAGCAAAUUGGUAAACAGGACUACAAGAAAAACAGACCUGUUUUAAGAGCAGCCAAGUUAAAAGCAGAAGCCAAGAAAGCAGCAAUAGGCAUAAAGGAAGUUGGCCUUGUCCUUAUAGCUAUUUUGGUACUCCUGCUGGCUUUCUAUGCUUUCUUUUAUCUUAAAUUAUCCACUGAGGUUGACCCUGUCCUGGCGAUGAAUGAAAAUUAGCACUGUGCUGAUCAUUGGAUCUCGGUCCCUUUAUGGAAAAAUGAAUGAUUUACAUAACACUAUUUAACAAUAUUUUCACCAACAACAUUCUGAAGUUUUUCAAAGCAGGAAACUCAGAAUCUUUCAACUGUUCUACUUCAUUUGGGGAACAUUUUAAAGAUUUAGAUGAAUUUCAAGCAAAGAUUCUCACCUUGGAAUGGAAUAUGUCAAGCCGCACUGGACAUUUUUACAAGUUGUUGUUCUUGGUUUUUUUUUUUUAAUGUUGCAAAAAAGGAGAAGUUUUCUCUACAUAUAAUGCUUAGUUACAUAUAUGUAUAUAUAUAUAUAUAUGUAUACAUAACACAAUAUAUAUGCAUAUGUAAUAGCAAAAAAUAUAAAAUCCUUUCUUCUUGGAAAGCCUACUCCACUUUCCCAAUACAGUUGCAUAAAUCAAAAUUAUUUACUGAUCAACAAAUCCUUUGUUUUUUUCCAAUCUCAUGGAAUGAAAUUCUAAACUAAAGUUUAUUCUUAUUUAUGGACACCUACUCAAAAUGCCUUCAUAGUUAUAUGAUUGGAGGAAAAGUUCCAGGAAAUUUUGUGUUUUAGAAGAAAAUGCUACUUUUUCUACAAGCAUAUUUUAUUUCAUCAUAGAUUCUAUCUGCACAUACAUUUACAGUCAUCUUUUUCUUUCCUCGCCAACUGUUCAGUGCACAUGUGCUCUUUCAGAAAUGGCACCUGGAUGACAGAAGCUCGAAGAGUCACAUAUGCCUCUAAAAUCAAGUUCUUUGCCUCUUGGGCUGUCUGAACUGGUGUAAAUAGAAAGUUCAGUUAAUGUUGAUUUUAAUUAGUAUAUCACUCUAUUAAUACAAAAUUGGAAUUCUAUUUUAAUUAUGUUGUUCCUGCUGCUUGAAGUAUCAGUUUGCUCCUCUUGUUAGAAAUAUGUUUAAAAAAAUCUUUUUCAUGCAUAUUCUUCUAAAUAAAAAUGAUCCAAAGUUUUUGAAAUUUUGCUUUAUAUAAAUUUAUAUUUCACCUCUUAAGACAUAACUCAAUUAAAUCCCAAAUAGGGAAUAAAUGACACAAGAAUAAAGGAUGUUUCUUUAUUCAGUAUAUAUUAGAGACAAAUCUUUUUUGUAGCUUUUAUUGAUUCAUUUGUCAGAAAAUAAAUAUGACAAAUAAAGUCAGUACUUUAAAAACUGAUUUUUAAAAUUCUUCAUAGUACAUAUACAUUAAAAAAAUAUUAAGUACCCUGGUAAACCAAUACAGGAGCUUAUGAAGAACUUUUUAAUGGCAUUAUGGAACCAUCAACAAUUUACAUAUUGACUCAAUGAAUAAAAAUACACAAAAAUAAAAAUUUUUUAUUAUUCUGAAGAAAAAAAGUUAUUCUGCUCCACUAAUUUUCUUUUCUUUUACUCAUUUAUUUAUUUUGGUGAGGCAGUUAAGUGAUUUGCCCUGGGUCACACAACUAGUAAGUAUGAAAUAUCUGAGGUCAGAUUUGAAUUCAGGUCCUCCUAACUCUAAGGCUGAUGCUAUAUCUACUAUGCCAUUAGCAACUCAUGUUUAAAUUAUUUCAAUAUUAAUUUUCCCAUUUAAGAUUGGGUGUUCUUCAAUACCCACUACCUAAUUCUUGUUGUUCAAUCAUUUCAUUUAUGAAUGACUUUUCAUGUCCCUAUUUGUGGUUUUUUUUUUUUUUUUGGCAAAGAUACUAGAGUGAUUAGCCAUUUCCCUCUCCAGCUCUUUUUUACAGAUGAGGAAACUGAGGCAAACAGGGUUAUAUGACUUGCCCAAGAUCCCACAGCUAGUAAAUGUCUGAGGCCAGAUUUGAACUUGAGAAGAUAAACCAUCCUGACUUGAGACCUAGCAUUCUAUCCACUGUUACAUAUAUAUAUAUAUAUAUAUAUAUAUAUAUAUAUAUAUAUAUUCUCCAGUUUACUAUAUACCUAAUUUUAGCAGUUUAAUGGGAAAUUACAUUUCUUUUCUCUAUUGCUCACUGAUUUUUUUUUUUUUUUUUUACUUUUAAAAAAUAGCAGGGGGCAGCUAGGUGGUACAGUGAAUAGAGCACCAGCUCUGAACUCAAGAAGACCUGAAUUCAAAAAUGGCCUCAGACACUUAACACUUCCUAGCUGUGUGAUUCUGGGUAAGUCAUUUAACCCCAGUUGCCUCAGGACAAAAAUGAGCAUAUGAAUACAUUCAAAUAAUAACUCAAAUUUGUAGAAGUGUUAAAGUUUCCAAAACUUUUCUCUUUGUGCUAGAAAACUAGCACAAAUAUUAUUAUCCACAUUUUACAUAUAGGAUCUAUGAAAUUGAGUGAUUUGCUCAUGAUUAUAUAGCUAACUAAAUAUCUAAGUCAGGAUUGGCCCCCACAGCACUUGACUCCAAGUCCAGCACUCUUUCUAGAGUAUUGUGCUGUUUCUAAAUGACUUUUUCCAAAUCUUUCCUGCCCUGGUUCUAAAUACAAGUGAUCUAGUCAUAUACAUUUUGUUGCAUUUUUUUUUGAUAGCAUUGCUUUUCCAUUACACAUUUGAGUCUGCAUAAUAGUGCUCUAUGCUAAUAAUUUAAACAUGCAAUAACAGUAACAGCUGAGCAAAAUCCCUUGAGAGUGGAAAAAUUUUGUUUUCUUUUACUUAUAUAUCUGUGUGAUAUGUGGACUGAGAAACUUAAGAUUACUAAAUUAGAUGGGAGCAUCUCAUAUCUGAAAGAAAUUUGAGAGGCCAAUGAGUCUAAAUUUAAGUGGGACAAGGGUCUUUACAAAAUACCCAAGUGAUCAUCUUGCCAAAACAUCUCCAGUAAAGGGUAGUUUUCUACUUCCCAAAGAAGCCUAGUUAUUCUCAUAGCAAGGAAAAAUGUGUCUCUUUACAACUUCCACCCAGUGUCCCUAAUUACAUUCUUUGAGGUGCAAGUCUCCAUUAUCUCUCAUAAGAUAAUUGUGAUAUGUGAAAAAUGAAUACUCCUAUAACAAGGAUAUAAAUAUGAAUCUAGGAGUGUAAUUUUCCCAUGGUAAUUACGAAUAAUAUAUGUGAAAUAAAAGUGUUUUCAUACUUAAUAGGACUUUGGAAACAACAUUGAACAAGCUCCACCUUUUAUGAGGUAUGUGACCUUAAAAAAUUUAAUUUCCAUGAACUACCUGUAAUUCUUAUCACAAUAGAUUGUUGUAAAAACAAAAUCAAAUAAUGCAAAAAAUCUUUUUCCUCCGAAAAGUGGCAUAAGUAUAUAAAUAUCAUCACUCUCAUCAUUAUAAUUGCAUUGCCAAAAAGAAUUUAUUUUUUAAAUACUUUAAGAUUUGUGCUUUUCAUAUGAGCACAAUGAACAUUCAUUCUCCCCCACUUCCCUCCUUGAGAAUGGGUCUCUUGCUUGCCCAGGGUGAAAGUACUAUAAAUAUUUAAAAGACCCAGUCCUAAUACCAAUUAACAUGAAAAUUUUGGCCUGUUUCCUACUUGAGUCAGGGCUCCUCUCCUUAGGGAUCCCACUCCCAACAAUUCACCGUGUUGGUGUCAGAUUUAAUAUGAAUACCCGAUUGCUUAAGUUUACUGCAGGUCAGAACUCUUUGGCUCAAGAAAUUCAUCAGCCUCAUCUUCUCCUGUCACAAGAAGCAUGCUAUCAUGCCCAAAAUGGAUCAUUUCUUAAAAUGGAAUGUUUUUGUCUUUAAAAAUAUACUAUUCUUCUGUGAAACUAUUUUGUCUAGAAUUUUUGCAAGAGGCACACUUUAUUUUUCAGAUAAGAAAAUCCAGAUGCUUAUCGAUCAUUCAUACUUUAUAUCUGAGGAUAUUUGGCCAGUGUUGGUUUCUCCUUGUUUUAUAGUCACAAAUUAAAAUGACAAAUCAGUAGUUCUUGUAUACUAUGGUUGACCAAUAUGGAUGGCAUUUUUAGAGAAGGUUGCAGCAUUUAGUGACAUGUGGCAUGUCUGUUAGUGAAGAAGAAGGCAAAGGAAUAUCACAAGCUGGCAUUUUGGAUAUGAUGGGCCUUUUACUUCCCUGAGUGACAUGCCACAUGUCACAAAAUGCUGUUGUCUCCCCACCCCCAUCACAUAUACGUGAGCAAUUUUCAUUUAGUUAUUUCUUCUCCCAUAUGGUGUUCAAAAGCACUUACAUUAAAUAAAGGUUAUUCCUAGUUUUUAGCGGUGACUUAAAUGAAAUAACAUAGCUGCAAAUAUAUUUAAUCAGAAACUUUAUCCAAAUUAAAUACAGUACAAGUUAAAGCAUAAUCGAUAAUCAUAAUCAAAGAGCUUUUUGAAAACAUUACAUCCUCCUUCAAAGUCCUAACAAUUUCUUCCAAAUAUUACAUAAAAGACAUGAAGUAUCGGAUAUUACUGCUACUACCAUUACACUACUAUCACUACUACUAGCUAGCUAGCGUUUUUGAGCAGUUGUGUGCUAGGAAUAGUACUAAGUCCUUUACAAAUAUUAUCUUAUUUGAUCCUUACAACAACUUUGCUAGGUAGGUGCCAUUAUUAUCCACAUUUUCAGUGGAGAAAAUUAAGUGAGAGAAAAGUUGUUAGGCAACUUGCUCAAAGCCACACAGCUAGCAAGUACCUAAAACUUGAUUUGAAUUUGGAUCUUCUUGAUCAGGAUAAUUGUGCUAUCUAAGCAGUACAUUUUGGUUUGGCCUUUUUUUUUUUUCUUUUUACAUUCUGACUUGCUUAACCAAUGUCAUCAGUUUAUUAUAAUAGUGAACAGUCCUCAAAAUGGGAGUCUUUGAGUUUACCCAAGAAUGAUGAUGAAAUGGGAUUAGAAACAUUCUUCAUUGCCUUAGGCAGCAUGUGCUAGAGAGAGUGUUCAUGAAAUGUGCUUUAGAUGCAUUUACAUCUCCUGAGAAGUAACAGAGAAUAUAAUGAGCAAAAAAAUUCUAGCUAAUUUACAGACUUUGUUGUUGUUGUUUUGUUGUUUUUUUGGUAAUUUUUUUCUACCAUUCAAGACAAAUGGGCAAUAUUUUGUCAGUUUUUUUAUUGUUGCUUUUUAGUGGACAGAAUUCAGUAGUAACAGUUAUGAUUUUGAGAAUUGAUUGUUUCUCAAUAUAAAUAUGCAUGCAGUUUUAUAUACACAUGUACAUUCAUAUAUGGAGGGGGAGAGAGAAAGAGACACUGACCAACUCUUUGGGAGAAGUAAGAUUUUUUUAAUCUGCAUAAAUUUUGUAAAAGAUUGUUUUAAAUUUAUUUUUUAAGUUUGUUUUAAUACAAAUAGAAAUAUAGAUCUAUAACCUCUUGGCAUGCUUCUUUUAAUAAAUAUUUUAAAGAAUUAAAUAGUAGCAGUGCAAAAUUGGAUAUGCGGUAAAAGCAGAAAUCCCUAAAUCAUCAGGAUUUGAGUCUUUUAAGUUGAAUAAAUAAUGGCUGAGUGCAUUGAGCUAGCAAAGUACUACAGUGUGAUAUGUGGCACCAUUUGAGAUACAGUGUAUGUAGGCAGUUAAAAAUUUGCUUCUUAUUUUGACCCAGGAUAAUACGGGGUCUGAGCUCUGGGAAAAUAAUGUAACUCCAGAUGCCAGAAGGGCCUUACAAAUAGUAAAGGCCAAAGACCACAAAUACCUUCUUUCACUCUUUUGAACAUACUGUGUAUCCAAAUAAAAUUGAAAUGUUAACUAAUUUUGGGAGUGUGGAGGCAAUAUAUUUUCUUAUAAUUACUGUAACAUAGAAAAAUAAUUUUUGUAUAAUCUUAAUGUCUUUAAAUGUACAAAGGCUCAAUUUAAUUGAAAAGCACUACUAUUAUAUAGAUGCUAAAGUCUAGAAUGCUAAAUAUAAAAAUCUAGAAAAGUGAUUGACUCUACAAGUCCUGUAUAUAAUACUUUCUUCUCUUCUCUUCUCUUCUCUUCUCUUCUCUUCUCUUCUCUUCUCUUCUCUUCCCUUCUCUUCUCUUCUCUUCUCUUCUCUUCUGUUUUCCCAUGGUAAUUACGAAUAAUAUAUGUGAAAUAAAAGUGUUUCUUCUCUUCUCUUCUCUUCUCUUCUCUUUUUCCCAUGGUAAUUACGAAUAAUAUAUGUGAAAUAAAAGUGUUUUCAUACUUAAUAGGACUUUGGAAACAACAUUGAACAAGCUCCACCUUUUAUGAGGUAUGUGAUAUGUGGCACCAAUUGAGUGAGAAUUCUCUAACUUCCCUCCUCUUGUUUCCCUGGGGUUCAAUUUAUUCACAUUCUCAAAAAAGCUGGGAUUAAGGAAUAGGUCAGGGGCACAUGGGGUAGAACAUUGGAUCUAGUGCCAAAUUUGAAGUCAGAAAGACUCAUCUUCCUAAAUUCUAAUCCACCUUCAGACACUUAUUAGCUAUGUGAUUCUAGACAAGUUAUUUAGUCCUGCAUGUCUCAGUUUCCUCAUCUGUAAAAUGAGCUGGAAAAGGAAUGACAAACCUCUCCAGUAUGUUUGCCCCCCCAAAAAAUCUGAAAUGGGGUCACAGAAAAUUGAAUUACAACUGAAAUGAUUGAACAAAGGAAUAGGUCUAGGCAGUGAGAUAUUGAAACUCUUUGUCUUGCAUAUAGCCUUUGACAUAGCAAAGGCCUUAUAUAAAUUCUUAACAAAUGUUUAUGAAAUUGAUCCUAUAACUUUGGAAUUAUUAAUACCAUUUUCAAUAAUGAGGUAAUAUAAAUAGAUUCUUUAAUUCAAAUGAAGAAAAUUGUCCAUAUUUAGCCUUAUUGUGUUUAUACUGGGUGUUGAUCUUCUAGAGUUUCUAUACUUUAAUAAUAGAUGGAAUAAGUAAAACAUAAAUGAGAAAAGCUUUAAAAAUAAUUCCCUAUAAAUUAAUUUAAGUAAUUUUAGAAUGAAUUUUUAAUAUAUAAGGUUGUUGGAAUUAAAUCGUAGACCAAAGGAGCCACCAUACAAAGUGGUGGUGUUUGGCUUCCCAGUGCUUAGAUUUCUCUAUAAAUGCUUGAUAUUUUGAGGCUAGAUAAACCCAUUAAAAAACAUCUUCAGUGAGAUGGGCAUUUCAAAUGCCAGAGAAUUACAGUAUUUAGAACUGUUCAGGAAAAACCAACUUGUUCACUAUAAAAAUGCCUGCUGCUUCCUGUACAACGAAUAAAUACUUAUAUAACAUAUGCAAAGCUUCACUAAGUUUGUUCUGGGAUGCAAGAUUCCCACCAGAGAAUUUGUCUAUGGCAUCAGGGUUUAAUCCUCCGCUUGAUCAGCCCAAAAGAAACUGAGGAAUUUCCUAAGUAGUGUCUAUGUAGAAAUAUAAUAAAUAAAAAUAAUUUUUAAAAAGUGAUUUACAUAAAAACUAGCAAUUUAGGACUUUAGAGGCAGCACCAUAAUGAAAUAAUUAUGUAGAUUCAGAUGAUUUGAUUCAAAUCUUAGCUUUACCACUUUCUACCUGUGACCUUGGCCAAGAAAAUUGAUAUCUCUUGGUUUUAGUGUUCUCAUUUAUAAAAAUAAGGAAAUUGACUAAUAAACCUCUUAGGCCUUGUCCAAAGUUAAGUAUAUUAUUAUAUUAACAUGGUUGCCCCCUCAACAUCAAUAGAUGUGAGACCCAUAUUUAGGGGAAAAAUAAGGAUUUUAUGUUGCUGAAUUUUAGACGACAGCAUUCCCUCUUCUUCAAUUUUUUUUUUUAAGCAACAACCAAAUUGGUGGGGAGGCAGCCAAAAUUUGAGGUACCAGUGCCUCUCGAACAGAUGUCGCACCAUUAUUUUUUAGCUCGUUUAGAUGAAUAAACAUGUUAAACUGUGAAGUAUUACAUUUUAGAUUUUUUCAUUAAAAAAGAGACAAUCUGUUUACUGUCCUAAUUGAGACAACAAUCCUUGUGGUUGCCAGUUUUGGCAGUCAUAACAAUGAACUAUAAAUAUUUGGACCAAUCAAGAAAAUGGUGACUGUAAAGGCUAUAACAUGUGGAAGGUUCUGUUUUCAUGGGCACCCAUUUCAAUGCUGCCUUUUUUUCUAAUUUCUGCAAAUAAAAUUAUAUCAAACCAGAGCUGCAUGGGAAAGCCCCACAAUAUCAGUUAAGAGACCUGUUUCAAUAUCUAAUUUCUUUCUAGUUCAUUAUCCUUUUUAGUGUUCAAUUAUCCAUCUGCUUGUAACAAAUUGCUUCUAGUUGCUCUAUCCAAUGUGACAAGUCAGGUCAUCAUUUAGAUUGGCUUUGGGGUACAAAUUAGGCUACCACAAAGUUGGGUCUUCUAUUCCCCUUUUCAAAUUACAAAAAUAAGCAUUCUGAAUCACUUUAACCUUUCAACUGAAGCAGUUUAAAAAUGGAGAUAUGAAUAAAUAAAAACAAAGUCACCUUAUUUUUCCAAAGAUGCCUUAGUUUUGUCACCAUUUACAUAUAUAUAUAUAUAUAUAUAUAUAUAUAUAUAUAUAUUUUAUAGAGUAUAACACCGAGAUGGGGAAAUGCUUUUGAGACGCUUUUUGCUGCUUUGAAAGAAAUAAUAAAAUACCAUUAACUGGAGUUCAUAAGGUAUUUGGGAACUAAAUAAUGUAUAUGGUAACUUAGACUUUGCAGAAGCCAAGAUUUAACGGAGACUUUAAAGAGCAUGAAGUCCUGACUCUCUCUUUUAUAGAAAAGGAAAUUGGAAGUCCUUAGACUUUUAAGUGACUUGCCAAGAUCAUCCCAGUAGUAAGCAACAUGAUUUAAUUCCUUUGAAGGAAAGACAGAAAACCUGGGCUGUCACAAGGCUACUGCUGGAGAUUCCAUUGCUUCUGGAAGAAAGCAUGGUAGACUAGGCUAGGGAAAUUGACUUUAUUUAAUUAUUUAACUAACCAUUUUUACUUGCUAAAGAAGCAUAAAAAUAUGAUCAGUUCCCUCUAAGUUUCGGCACUCUGAAAUAACACCCUAUUCCCAGUGUUAAUACUAUCUUAUUUUAGUUAUUGCUCUGAUUUUUGCCUACUGUACCCCUUAUUUCUUCUUUCUUUAUGCUGACUCCCAAUAUUUCUUCCCUUUCUCUACUGUCCCACUCUGGUACUCCCAUUUGUUUUCAUCUUUUUCCUCUCUUAUUUCCUGUCAUUGCCAAAAUCCUCUUUUUCUAUCCGUCACUUGUGUGUGUAUGUGUGUAUACUUACUAAUUCUACUAUAUUACUCUUCCUCCUCCUCUUACUAUUACUACUACUACCUUCUUAGGACUUGCAAACUAAGAGGAUCUAUGUUCAAAACCUGUAUCUGAUAUCAGCUACAUGACCAUGGGCAAGUAACUGAAUGCCUCUGAGUUUGAGUUUCCUUAUCUGUAAAAUGUUAAUCAUUAUACCCAUAGUAUUUCCCUUAUUGGAUCGUUGUGAGGCUUAAAUGAGAUUAUAUAAAAUAUUUUGAGAAUCAUAAAGCACUAGAAAAUUCCUGAUAUGAAGAUAAUAAGGAACAUAUGAUGAUGGGACUCAUUAGUUAUUAAAAAAUGUUAACUGAUAGAAUAUUACUAUCUACAGAAAUAGGAGAAAGAACCAAACUUCCUUCUUUUUACAGUCAAUUCCAAUAGAUCAAGUAUAAAAUAGAUAGCAACCAUCUUCUACAGGAAGCUUUUCUCAAUCUCUCUUCAUUCUAAUGCUUUCUCUCAAUUAUUUCCCAUUUAUCCUCUAUGUAGCUUGUUUGUGUAUAUAUAUAUAUAUAUAUAUAUAUAUAUAUAUAUUUGUUUGCUUCUUGAACUCUUUUUGCCUCCUUUUGUAUUUCUAUUGUUUAGCACAGUGCCUGGCAUAUAAUAAACUCUUGAUGAUUUAUUUUGUGCUCCAAGAGGACCAAAAUGACAUCACUAUGUUGGGGUCAAGGAAGUGUGUUCAAUUGUAGCUGAUCAGACCAAUAUGAGUUUGGAAGUUUCUACAACAAAUUGGGCACAAAUAGUCUAUAUGAAUAUUUGGAGUAGAGAUGACAUUAAAUUUGCGCCUCUCAUUUCUUUUGAGCUACUUGAAAUUCUGUUUUGCUUAUAGAGUAUAGUGCCUUCUUUGAUGUGAGAAUACCAUGGUGGACAGUUCUUUGGCUUAAUAAUGUUUACUGACUGACUAAUUGGAUGUUUGAUCACGUAGAAUCAUACGAGCAUUGCCUGUGUUAUACACUUAUAAAACCUAUUGAAACUUCAACAGGCUAUAUUUUUUUGUUCUUGAUAUAUGUGAGCCUGAUGUAUUUUUUUCUUCUUGAUUUUUAUUGUCACUUCCUUUCAUUUCAUUCUUUAUGGAUAGGAGAUUCACCACAUCUUGAUUUUUCUUCUUCAAACUCUUUUUUUCUCCUUAUUCCAAGAAAAGGUUCUGUCAUAUAGAUUUAUCUUGAAUAAAAUUAAUUAAAGUCAAUUUUGUUUCUGAGUAUUUCACAUCAUUCCUUAAAAUGAUUUGUGAUAUUCCAUAUAUUUCAAAACCAGUUUUUGGUACUUUUGGACUAAGCAAAAAAAAAAAAAAUAUUCUCUCUCAUUCCUCUUAGCAAUUACCCCUCCUUUGGACUCUUUCCUCAAACAUUCUAUAAAUGAACCAAUGAGAAAUAUUUCAUGUAGACUACAGAAGGUCAAAUAUAUUAAGCCUAUCAGCUAAUUUGAACAGGGGUCUGCUUAUAUUCAUUCUUUUUCACAUUAGAAUAUAAAUACAAGGGAACACUUUUCAAAUCUUUGGAUGAUCAUAAAAAGAAAGAAAAAAAGAUCUUUUCUUUUUGAAGAAAACUCCAGGGAGAUAUAGCCUAGUCAAUCACUAGCUUUGAGAGAAAAUACAUUUCAUUUUAAACUCCCUUCAUAUGCAGUGGGUAGCAACCUAUAGUAAGUUGGUUAUAACUGAUAAAUUAUUUCUCUGAAAAUAGGAUAUGAUAGGAAUCAACUUAUCACUAGAAACAUGUUCAUCUCAUGUUAUAGAUUGUAAGGUAAUAUAUAUAUAUACACAUAUAUAAGCAAUGAUUAUUAUUAUGUGAUACAAUAAUAAUUUCUUUCUGGCAUCUUUGUCCAUCUUGGUCAGAGCAGAACAUUGAGAAAGUGAGAAAGAAACUGCAACUAUCUUUCUUGAGUUGACAUUGUUAAAAUGAACCUAAAGCCUACAUAUUGGUAAAUGGCUCAGGAUUUUGACAUCUUUAUUAUAGAUAGAUAGUAAGAACCAGGUGUCAUGAAAUCUGGUUUGAGUAUAAAGAAGGAGCCUUCAGUCUGGCAAUAAAAAUUUGAAUUUUCUAGUGGAUUCUUGACAGAAAAUUGUUAUAUUGUUAAAAUUAUUAUUCUAGCCUUUCUUUUGUGCCAUUUUAGCCUGAUUUUCCUUUAAAUAUGGAUGUUGAAGAAUCAUGCUGGAUAAAUGAGGAUAUAGUAAUCAGGUGAGUUGAAUUGAAGAUGAUUGUAUUUAUUGAUUCAGAGGAUUUCAUGAAUGCAGAAGAUAAAAUUUUACCAGUGAUUAGUUUUGCUUAAAAUGUGUACUUUGAGAGCAAUUUAUAUAAAAUAGACUAGAGAAAAGAAAGUUUAUAUUAUAGGAUGAUAAAACAAGGAUGUCCAAGGAGAUAACUACACCAAUUUUAUAUGAUAUAUAUGUUUUACUGAAAGUUUUUCAUUUAUAGUAUAUUGACAUUUUUCUUAUUAGCUCAAAGUUUUAGCAUAGACAUAAAAGACAGGAAUGAUAUUUAGACAUUUAAGGAAGCUCAACACCUUUUAGGGACCACUAAAACAAUAGCAUAUUGCUGUCACCUUGAUGACAAGAAAGUCAUUCUGUCUCCUUACGUACCUAACCUAAGGAGUGACACAUACUAUGACAAAUAAGCCCAUUUUCUCAUUAAUCGUCAAUACAUUUCUAUGAAGUAAACAGUUUUAAAUGAUUCUAUUUUAUGGAUGAGAAAAGGAAGACAUGAAGGCAUUAAAUAAUUUAUUCACCUAGUACACUACUAGUUAGUGGUAAAAUUGGAAAUAACUUAGUUCAUUUAUACAAUUAUAUAUUUGUGGAGCAACUAUUUCAGUAACUUAAAGGCACCCAACAGAACAACAAAAAGGACAAUGAUACAAAAAAAAAAAAAAAUGAAAGUAGCAUGCACAAGUACUUUAAGUUAUGUCAGUACCUGCUCUUUGUAAUGUAAGGAUUGGAAAGAUGAAUAAAAUAUAGCAUACCAAAGAAUAUUCAUUAGGUUGGUUCAGUGGCCUAAGGACACAAUCCCAGAAUCUCAGAACUGGGAAAAACCCAGGAAAUCAUCUAGUUAAACCUUAACUUGAAUAAGAAUUCUCCUUUCAACAUAUUCCAACAAAUGGUGGUUCAAACUCUACAAGAUUUCAAAUGAAGAUGAAACCACUAUCUUUCAAGGCAACCCAUUAUACCCUUGGAUAGCUGAAAUUGUUGGGAUUGUAAAAAUUCAUUCAUUUUAAGCAUAUAAUGGGGUAUGUAAUGGGGCUCAGCUUUUUUAGGGAGUUUAUUUUAGAUCAAAAGUUCUAAAUUUAUUCACAAAUUCUUUAUGUCCCCAGUGAGGAAAAUUCCUAGUACCUAGGCAGAGGUGGAGCUCUCUGCCCAACCUGAGAUUUACAUCUUUCCCUAAUUAACCCCUGAUCUCUUUGAGGCAAAAUUCACUUUAUUAUAAACUUAGGUAUUUAUUAUAAAUAAUAAUAAACUUAUUAUAAUGUUUGUGGAUGAACAAGUAUUGGGAAAGGAAGUUUGGAAAAGAACCUGCCUCAGCCUAAGAUCUUUACUCUGUGAUGCUUAGAGACCCCAGGCUUCUCCUUGAUUAUCUCCCUCCUCUGAGUUCUCCCUUUGUUCCUCAAGGCUAUGCUGGAAAUGCCAUGUUUACUUCAACCUCUUAAAUCCAGUGUGUCAUUAUCUCUUCCCUGAAUUCUGAGAAAGCUUCUUCCUUUUAUAUAAAUUGUGUAGGGCACGACCUAGUCUCUCAUGCAGUGACUUUGAUUGAUUCAAGGACCUUUUCACAUGUAGUUGUGAUUGUUUAAUUCCAUCGAAAAGUAUUCUGACCUACUCAAGUCACCAGAGCCAAAAUGAGGUGGUUUCAACCUUUUCUUAUAUUAGAAAGAUUUUCUUACAUGAAGUCAAAUUUGUUUCUUUGUGACUUUCACCCAUUUUCUAGUUCACAGAAUCAGAGAAGUUGUGAUGAGCCUUUAAUUUCAUAGAAAAGGAAACUGAGCCCCAAAGAGGUAGAGAUAGAUUUAACCCAGAUUCUCCAAUUCCAGAUCCAACAAGUCUUACAAUGACUUUUCUUUAAAUGACAAUUCUUUAAAUACUUGAAAAGAGACAGCAUGUAGUCCAUAUGUCUCUUACAGACUAGGUCUCCAGAGUUUCUUUGAUCUUCAUAUGGCAUAAAUUCAAGGACUUCCUUUCAUUAUCAUAAAUUACCUUUUUUUGGACAUUCAUUAAUUUCCUUCCUAAAAUGUAGAACCAAGUAUUCAGGUUGGCAUAUGACCAGGAUGAAAUAAAGCAAUAUCUAUUCCUAAAUAUGAAACUAGCUUAAACUUACAUUCACAUUAUUGACACAUUCAACUUGCUGUCCUCUUAUCACUUGUAGAUAUUUUUCAGACAACACCUUCACUGUGUUGUGCUGGUAUAGUUCAUUUUUAUUCACUCUAUUUCAUUUUCUUAGAUUUAGCCUAUGAAGGACUUCAGGUAUGUUGAUUAGGGAAUGACUGAAAAACUAGUGUGUAUAUAAAAGGUAGAGGGAUUUUAUCAUGCUAUAAGAAAAGAGGAAAUUGAAGAAUCAUAAGAAACAUGAGAUUUGCAUGAACUGAGAAGAAUGAAACCAAAAGAAUACACACACACACACACACACACAUAUACACACACACACACACACACACACACAUACAUAUACAUCAUAAACACACAAAUACUCCAGCAAUGCAAAUGAAAAGAUGUUGCUAAAAAGAAACUGGAAUCUAAAUAAUAGAAACAUUCCACCAAAGUUCUAAAGAACAGAUAUUGAAAUUUAACCAUGUCUUUUUGACAGAAAUAUAAGAGGUGUGUUAGGGCAGAAUGCUCUACACAUUGCCAGACACUGUCACUGUGUCAGGUGAUUUUGCUUAAUUCAUUUACUUUGUGCCUAAAGGGGGAGUCUCAAUUUGAAGUUUGGAAGUGGGGGGCUGAGUAGAAGAAGUUCCACUAGAAAUCAUAAUAGCUAACAUUUACAUAGUGCUUACUGUGUACCAGGUACUAUGUUAAGCACUUUAAAAUGACUAACUCUUGGGAUCCUCACAACAGCCCUGGGAGAAAUGUGCUAUUAUCAGCUCCAUUUUAAAGAUAAAAAAACUGAGGCAAAUAAAGGUUAAAGUGACUUGCCAAGGUCACAUAGUUGGUGUGUCACAUGUACAUCUGAGAUCAAAUUUGAAUUCAGGUCUUCCUAAUUCCAGACCCAGCAAGCACUCUUUCUACUGCCCCACCUAGCUGCCCUAUGACUAUGAUAUACAUAAAAAUAUCAAUAAACAUUAAAAAAAUUUAAAUCAGCAAACUUUUAUGCAUCAGUUUCACUUUCCACCGUUAAAUAACACUAGCUGUAAUGUGUUAUAUUCAUUUUAAAAAUAAUCAUCUAUUAUAGGUAAAUAAGAGAUACCAACAAUAGGUAAAGAUUAUUAUUUAUGUCUCAUUGGGUGAUUUGAUUCCAUCACUUCCUUGUAUUUAGAAAAGUAAGAAUUAUAAAUACUAGAGGUGGUUUUACCAAUGAAUAUAUGUAUUAUAUCAUCUUAUGCCCCAAAAUACUACGUUUUCAUUUAAAAGAGAUGUUGCCUAUAAACUCCUAAACAAGAAAAAAAAAUCAGAAAAACAUGGAGGAAGAGUAGAUAAAUUUACACUGUAGGUUGUUGUUCCUUUGUCUAGAAGAGGCUGGUUUUUGAGAGUAUGAAAAACAUAACAGGAUAUUUAGGUGUUCAUUCAAAACAUACAAAGGCCAAGUUUGGAGAUAUUAAAUAAUGUUAAUAUAUUAUCUAAAUAUCUUAUACAACAAUUAUGAAUUUGGUUUUAAACUAUUUAAAAUUAUUAUCUCAUGAAAAUGUUAAAUUCAGCCAUCAUUAAAUGUAGAAAUUUGUUGUCUUUUGAUUUUGAUUUUGAAAAAUGUUUAUCUUAAAUUUUAUUUCUAUUAUUCUAAGUAUUUUUUUCUUGUUGAGUAUUUACUUUUAGAUUGAGAAUCCUGAGUAGACAUAAUUAUGAAGAAGCUGGGAGAUAGCCUCUAUAAAGGGCCUUUCAUGCUAAAGAAAUCAUUCUCUCUCAAAAAAGCUCAAUAGAUUUUUUGAAAGCUCUAAUUGGAUACAAGAUUUUUCUUAUAUCAAGCUGAUCUUCUGUAGUUUCCAAACCUUUAUAAUUCUAAACACUCAGGCCAAACAAGAGAAUUCUAAUGCUUCAUAAAUAUGUCAACCUACCAAGUGAUCAGACUGGUAUCACACACACAUACCAGCCUUUUCUUCAGGUUCAACUGGGUUCUCACUGAAUCAAGGCAAUAUUUUUACGUAUCCUUAGUUAACUCACAACUUCAAUAAUACUGGCAUCUUUUCUAAACUUUUUCAUCUCUUCUUAAGCCUCCCAUAUUUUCCCUCCUCCAAUGAUUUCAGAUGAAAAUCUUGUCUCAUAUUUUCCUGCAAAAUUGAGGCUGUUCCCUGGGAAUAUUUUUUCCCUUUUUCCUCAUAUUCCACUAUCCAGAUGUCUUCUCCCAUUGUCUUCACCCUUCUGUAUUUAACAUCUGUCUGUCCUUCACCCAUGUUACAUAUGAAGAUAGCCCUUCUUUUUGCCAAAAUGAAUGCCUUUACCUAUACAAGAGAUCUCAUUCUAUGCUGCAUUCUCCAGAGUCUAUUAUUAUUAUAUUCCUAGGCAAUGAUAUUCCAAAUUCUUGCUGACAAUAUAGUUUAAAAGCCUCUUGUAAUAAUCCUUAAGAUUUUUUGGUUUGCUUUUUUUCUAAAGAGUAACUUGUUGUUCAAUUUUGUGAGAUUCUUUGUGACCCUGUGGACCAAAGCAUGUCCCUACUAUCUGUGCGUUUUCUUAGCAAAGAUAAUGGAAUGAUUUGGCAUUUUCUACUCCAGUGCUUCAAGGCAAACAGAGAUUAAUGAUUUGCCCAGGGUUGCACUAGUAAGUGUCUAAAACCAGAUUUGAACUUGUUUUCCUGACUAGGUCCAGUGUUCUGUCCAGUGAGUCAUCUAACUGCCUCCACCUUUGUGACACUAUUUUUUAAUAGGAUACUGCUACUCUCUUGCAGUUAUCUUUUGUUCCCUAUACUUCCAUUAUUUGCAAUAAAUAAAUAUUAAUAACAACAGGCAGUAAAUAUUAACAAAGCAUUUACUGUAUGUUAGACACUGGGCUUAGUGCUGGGGACCAAAGAAAGGCAAGUGACAAUAAUUGUUCUCAAAGACCUCACAAUCCAAUGGAUUUAAAACCAUAAUAUGACAAUACACAUUUAUAGAAUUCCAUAGUUUAUAGAGUGUUUUCCGCACAACAAACAUGUGAAAAUUCUUUUGUUGUUCACUCAUUUCAAUUAUGUCUGACUCAGUCACAUAUGAUCCCAUUUAGGAUGUUCUUGGCAAAAAUACUUUGACAGUUUGCCAUUUCCUUCUCCAAAUCAUUUGACAAAUGAGGAAACUGAGGCAAGCAGAAUUAAUUGACUUGCUUAGUGUCACCCAGCUAGUAAGUGUCUGGGGCUGGGUUUAAACUCACUUAGAGGAGUUUCCGUGACUCCAGGCUCAGCACUCUAUCCUCUGUGUCAUCACUGCCUGAAAUGGUCUUCAUUAUCCCCAUUUUACUAAUGAAAGGAAAUUGACAUUCUGAGGGGUGAAGGAACUUGCCUGUAACCACACUAUUAUAAUAUUAACUCAUUUAUAGAAAGCUUUAUUAUUAUUCUCAUUUUACAAAGUGUUUUCCUCACACCAAUACUGAGAGUUAGUUAUUAGUAUUCCUUUUUUGAAGACGACAAAACAGAUGCACUGCUUUCUCACCUCAAUUCCUGACACUCCAGAUUUCUCCACUCUUGUGGUCCCUAUUCCAAAUAAUGUGUUCCUCCCCAGAAUCUCCAUUUGAGGACUAUCCAACUUAGCCAUAUUCAAUUCCCUCUUGACUCCACUCCUGCUACAUUGUACUUCUCUACCUUCUCCCUCCCUCCCCUCCCCUGCUUUUAUUUUUAUUUUCUGGUUAGAAAAUCCUUAAGAAUAGGGACUGUCUUUUUUUAUUGCUUCUGUUUGUAUAUACUGCUUAGCACAGUAACUGGCAUAUAGUAAGCACUUGAUAAAUACUUUGCCUGUCUGUCCAUCUACAGAGAUCAAAACAUGCAUUUAUAGAAACUUGAAAAUAAGAAUCUUUAAAAAGUAAUGAUGAUGGUGGUGGGAUAAGUUGUAUUGAUUUAAGAAAAUCUGAUAAAACAAAGCCUUUAUGAGGUGAAUCAAGCCCAGUCAUUCACAUUUUUCAUCAUUUUACAAAAGAUUUUCUUUCAGUCAAUAUUCUUUUAAAUAAUGAACCUCUUUGUCCACAAAAUUUAAAUGUGACUUGAACAACACACACAAAAAUGUGCUACAUACAUAACUUUUCAGGAAUAUAUCUAUUUUGUAAAGUAAGGGACAGCUGCAGGCAUAGAUAUAUUCCUCCAGCAAAAUGGCAGUUAAGUAAGAGAGGUUAAGUGAUUAGUCCUAACUUAUAUUUUUCACAGUCUCUUUUCCUGCAUGAAACAAAUUAAACAGUAUAAAUUUCAUUUUUCUUUCCUAAAUCACGUGUGAAAACGAAAGGAGACAAUGGAUAAAUACAGCUCGAUAUUGUCAGCUUUGCUGUUUUUUAAUUCAUUUAAUUUAAAUGCAAAUUGUAUGUUUUAAUAAUCAUAAAUUGCCUAGCAUCAGGUUGCUCCCAGAAACAUGCUGUUACUGAGAAGAUGCUUUUCUGAAAUUCCAAAAGCCUUCAUUGUAACUGGGCCUUUUUCCUUUGUGAGAAGUGCUGCCCCUUGAAACAUCCUGCUACAUAGAGUUGAAAUGAUUUUAAAGCCUCAGAGAAAAGCUUAAAAAGUUGUAAUAGGAAAUCACACUUGGUUUCACCAGUAGUUCUGAGCAUAGGAGCUAAGAAGUGAUUUCAAAUCAGUCUGUAGAAAGAUUUUUAUGUCUGAUCAUGAGCAAAAAGAGAGAGCUUCUCUCUGAUGGAGGCUAGGAGUAAGUCACGUUUCGGGUCCUAAUGAUGUCUGCCGCCUUUCAUCAUCUGACAGUGACCAAGUCACAUUUCUUUCUACUUUGACAGUGGAAACAUUUAAUGAAACAAAACAGCAAUACCAAACUCCAGGUCUCCCUGCCCUCUUUGCUUAAAUGAGGCUCUGGCUUCAUUAAAUUCUAGCUUGCAGAGGUGCCCCACAAUUACAAUCCUCUGUACCCCAAAUUAAAAUGAGAUCCAAAAGCUUUACUUUAAUGCACACUGACAUGCUCGUUGUAUUUCCAAACUCCAAGAGAAUACAAGAUCGAUCUAUCAGAGGGCUAGGAAUCCUAUAUUACAUCUUCUCCAGGGUAAACUAUAGCUUGACCUACCAGAUACUUGACAUAAAUGCCGGCAGGUUAGUGUGUAUACCAACAUUGAGAAUGAGAAAUGCUAAAACAACAAGUAUGCUAUGUUUUGGUUCAAUCACCCCUUUGAGUGACCCAUUUAGCAUCCAUUUAAAUUCAUCCUCUACAUAUUUUAAAAUAUUUUAAGUAUAUAUUAUAUAUAGUUUCAUAGUUCUCUGAAUACUUUGGUAGGAGUCACUAUAGAAGUGGAAAUUAAAUUUUAAUGAAUAUUAGAAAAAUUAUGGUGGAGCAUUAUGUUUAAGUCUUGGAAGAUAUAAUCUUAUUAUCAAUAUUCUAUACACAUUUAUUUCUAUAUUUUUUUAGUUAUACUCAUAAUUGCUCUUCUUUCUUUUGACUAUCAUUUGGCUUGGAAUUACAAAGCAACAUUAAGUUUUAAUGGUCUAAAAAUUCAUAUUGACAUGCAGUAAUUUUAGCUCUAUAUUUUACUGUCUAGUAGUUCAUUAGCAGCAUUCUUUCCCCCUUAAAACACAUUUCUAGUAUCCUAACUUAAAAAUUUAAAAAUAUAUGUAGAAAAAUAGGGAAAAAUACAAGUUUAACAUUUUUGAAAUUAUUUAGUUUAUAGAUUUAUUGUAUUUUGGAAUUAUUUUAUAUUUUAUAAAUUAUAUACUUUAUAGAUUGAUUUUUUAUUUUACUUACCUAUAAAGAUAAGUAACUAUUAAUGUCAUUUUGAUUACCUGUUUUCAGGAGUAGCGAUAUUCAUAAUUUGUUCUAAUGGCUCAUCUUCUUCACUUUGAACCAUAUGAAGAAUUAUUGAUUACCUGAGGAGGACAAGAACAAAUUAGUUAUAUUAUGUUUCCUAAUGGUUAGCCCCUAAGCAAAUAUUUUGAUAACUUACUGAAAUAAAGAGGUUCUCCAGGAUGAAAGCAAUAGAGAUCAGUCACUGACUUAUACUGCCAGAAAUAAAAGCUUUCAACCAUGGACUUGGAUAUUGACUAUAUUUGAUUAUAUGAAUAGGAGUUUAACCAGUUUUUCAAAAGCUUUUCAUUCACCUGGGUGUAGGUUGAUUCUUUUUUUCAGUCAUAGCAACUUUAGGAGACAGGUAUCAUUUGAUGGCACAGUGGGAUAGAGCACUGGCCCUGGAAUCAGGAAACUGCUGUUGUUUUAUAUUCAUUUCAGUUAUGUCUUACUCUCUGUGACCCCAUUUGGGGUUUUCUUAUCAAAGAUUCAUGAGUGGUCUGUCAUUUCUUUCUGCUGAAUUGAAAACUAUGUGUUGUGGAGAAAGGUGGAAGACUAAGAGGGGGAUGGAUUACAAAAGGCUUUGAAUACUAAACAAGGCAUUUUGUAUUUGCUCCUUCAGUUAGUAAGAAGUCAAUGGAUUUUAUUAUAUGGGGGGGCAGGAGGAUAGGGUACCUAGAUCCACUUUAGUGACUGAAUGGAGGAAUGAUUUGAGCAGGGAGAAGUUGAGACAAACAGAACCAUCAGCAGCUAUUGCAGCAGUCCAAGCAUGAGUUGAUGAGGACCUGAAUGGAGGUCAUGUCAGAGCAGAGACUGGGAUGUAUUUGAAAACUGUUGUGAAGAUAAAAUUGAGAGGCCUUGACAUCAACUUGGAUUUGGGAAGAUAGUGAGGAAUACAUGAUGAAUCCCAGGUUGUGGG